AAGGGAAUGAGUUUGUGGGGAUAAGAUAAUGGGCUUGCUUUUACAACAUGUUGGAUAUGAAUUCAUGGCAAGACAUCAACAUGAAAAUGUCUAGUAGGGUGUUGUAGAUGGAAGACUAGAAUUUAGUAGAGAGGCCAGAACAGAAGACGUAGAUUUGGGAGUCAUACAAAGAGAGGUUAUAGCUAAAGGCAGGAGAGUUGAUGCACUAUCCCUGGUAGAGAGAGAUUUGAUGCACUAUCCCUGGUAGAGAAUAGAAAGACAGUAGAGUAGACAGUGGAAGACUGAGCCUUGAGGAAUGUUCACAGUAGGAGAAGGAAGAGCAGAAGCCAACCAAAAAAAAACAACAACAAAAAACAAAAAACAAAACUGAAAAGAAGCUUGUUUCUGGUUAUGAGAAAAAUGUCAAACUCAUUAAAUUUGGGUUUUUCUCCCCCACAAAUACAUAUCCACGUAUUUGUCAAAAUGGUCAGAUCUAGUAAAUCUGGUUGCUAAGAGAGGCUGCUACUCUUGACAAAAGAAUGGCUAUUUUUGUAGUAAUCUUGGGUAGAAUCAAACCUAUGCUUUUGGUCGGGUUUCAGGUUCCUGCCAUCAUGACUGAAGUUGUUCCAGACUGGUCUCACUUCAAGCCAGCAAUAAUAAUUCAGACUGGUUCAAUCACUUAAUGUUGGAAAAUAUCCUCAAAUAUCCCUCCCAACCUCUCCUCCUCCCCUCCUUGAACAGAGAAAUGCUCAAGUUUCCCUCAGCGUUCCAAGUUCACAUUCACCUCUGCUUGCCGGGAGGAAAGAAGAAGGGAAGAGGGGACCCUUUCCAGGACACGGGAUAGUCUCUUACUUGUAUCCAUAGAAAAUACUUCAUUCUGCACUUUCUUUAACCUCAGGACUGUCUAAUUCCUCAUGGAAAGAAAAUAACAUUCUGGAAAAAAAGUAAAAGGCAGAUCUGAAACCAAAGACAAGGUUGGAUUUUUCCCCCUCUUGAACCUAGCCAAAUAAAA
rnacentral:lncRNA from 1 species